rnacentral:tRNA from 2 species
GCCCCGGUGGUGUAGCGGUUAUCAUGUGGGCCUGUCGAGCCCACGACCCGAGUUCAAAUCUCGGCCGGGGCG